CGUUAUUCGGAAUUAUUGGGCGUAAAGCGUCUGUAGGUGGUAAGGAAAGUGUAAUGUUAAAGAUCAGGGCUCAACCCUGGGAAAGCAUUGCAAACUAUCUUACUUGAGUUCGGUAGGGGCAGAGAGAAUUCCCAGUGUAGCGGUGAAAUGCGUAGAUAUUGGGAGGAAGACCGGUGGCGAAGGCGUUCUGCUGGGCCGUAACUGACACUCAGAGACGAAAGCUAAGGUAGCAAAUAGGAUUAGAUACCCUAGUAGUCUUAGCUGUAAACGAUGCACACUAUGUUUUGCAAUUUGCAGAGCAAUAGCUAACGCGUUAAGUGUGCCGCCUGGGGAGUACAUUCGCAAGGAUGAAACUCAAAGGAAUUGACGGGGACCCGCACAAGCGGUGGAGCAUGUGGUUUAAUUCGAUGCAACGCGAAGAACCUUACCAAGAAUUGACAUGCUGCGAACGUUUACGAAAGUAAAAAGUCUAUUAACUUAGUUAAUAGCGCAGACACAGGUGGUGCAUGGUUGUCGUCAGCUCGUGCCGUGAGGUGUUAGGUUAAGUCCUGCAACGAGCGCAACCCUUGUCUUUAGUUAUAUUCUAGAGAGACUGCCGGUGAUAAACCGGAGGAAGGUGAGGAUGACGUCAAAUCAGCAUGCCCCUUACAUCUUGGGCGACUCACGUGCUACAAUGGUCGGGACAAAGAGAUGCUACCCUGCGAAGGCAAGCUAACCUCAAAAACCCGAUCUCAGU
rnacentral:rRNA from 1 species